UGCCAGGGGAGCUUACAGGCUGAGACCCGGAAAAAAUGUUCCGGGGACCCUCAUUACCUGAACCGGAUAAUACCGGCGUAGGGAGGCCGUAA
rnacentral:ncRNA from 1 species